AAAUUAAAACAAUGGACUUUUACUAAAAAUCAAAAUGUAAUUGUAAUGUGUUAGGGGUGUCCCUAAUUUCCCUAUAAAAAACAUUGUUUGAAUUGUUGCUCUUAACAACCUGUCAUUGAUAACAACCUAUAGAAAAAUUAGUACCCAAACUUAUUAUUGCGGUCAAGAUCUAAAAGUUCGAAUUGCGCCAAUCACUCAUUCUUUCAUUUGAAAUCCCUUUUUUUUUUCCCCACAAAAAAUAGGCGAAAUCUCUUGCCUUUGUGGCCCCGUUUCUU
rnacentral:lncRNA from 1 species